AACGGCGAGUGAAGCGGCAAAAGCUCAAAUUUGAAAUCUGGCUCCUUCGGGGUCCGAGUUGUAAUUUGUAGAGGAUGCUUCGGGUGUGGUCACGACCUAAGUUCCUUGGAACAGGACGUCAUAGAGGGUGAGAAUCCCGUCUUGGGCCGUUGGUCCACGCCCGUGUGAAGCUCCUUCGACGAGUCGAGUUGUUUGGGAAUGCAGCUCUAAGCGGGUGGUAAAUUUCAUCUAAAGCUAAAUAUUGGCCGGAGACCGAUAGCGCACAAGUAGAGUGAUCGAAAGGUUAAAAGCACCUUGAAAAGGGAGUUAAACAGCACGUGAAAUUGUUGAAAGGGAAGCGCUUGCGGCCAGACUCGAGCGCAGGGUUCAGCGGGUGCGUGUCACCCGUGCACUCCCUGUCGCUCGGGCCAGCAUCAGUUCUGACGGCCGGUCAAAGGCCCCCGGAAUGUGUCGUCUCUCGGGACGUCUUAUAGCCGGGGGUGCAAUGCGGCCCGUUGGGACUGAGGAACGCGCUUCGGCUCGGAUGCUGGCGUAAUGGCCGUAAGCGGCCCGUCUUGAAACACGGACCAAGGAGUCUAACAUCCACGCGAGUGUUCGGGUGUCAAACCCGUGCGCGCAGUGAAAGCGAACGGAGGUGGGAGCCUUAGGGCGCACCAUCGACCGAUCCUGAAGUCUUCGGAUGGAUUUGAGUAGGAGCGUGGCCGUUGGGACCCGAAAGAUGGUGAACUAUGCCUGAAUAGGGUGAAGCCAGAGGAAACUCUGGUGGAGGCUCGCAGCGGUUCUGACGUGCAAAUCGAUCGUCAAAUUU
rnacentral:rRNA from 2 species